AACCGGCUGGACCCAAACAAAGAACAACAAUAACAACAAAACAACAUUUCUGCGGUAGAAACCGGCCCUCGCACGACUGGGGUUUUUUCUUGAAAUUCAUUCUAGCGUAGUCUGGAAGCCCCGGUGAACGAAUUCAUCAAGGAGAGCACCGAAUAAUCGCCGUUUUUGUGCAAAGAAAAAGACAAAACGUACUGUAGUGUCGAUGUUCGGAGGCUGACGCGGCCCUUCCAAGUCUGUCUCCUUUGGCCAAAACCCUUAUUAGUCGAUCGAGGCCUUCCAAGUGUGGCUAUCCGAGUACUCGACCUGAUUGUUCCGAGUUUGCUUCGAAGCUCGCAGGCUCAAAAUUGCUCAUCUUGGCCAUCAAGGUGCUGAUUGUGUGGCAUUUUUUACCAUUUUCACUUUGAAGGAUGGUCGACGGCCAGAGAGCAGGUGUCCACCCUGAAUUUCAUUCGUUGCCAUCAGGACUUCAAAUUUGGUCAACUUCAAACUGGCAAAGCAAAGAGCACAUCUUGAUGAACUCAAGCGUUUGGAAUGACCAAUAUGAAUUAGAUGUCCAGAAAAGGAAGACCAAACAAUCAAGAUAUUUUUCCCAAAGGCCAUGAACCUGCUGUGGACAGGAAUCUGCUUUGUUUGUCCAUCAUACUUUAACUGUGCAAGUACAAUCUUGUCUUUAUACAUAAAUUUAAUGCGUCUUGUCAAGUUCCAAUAUUUAUUAAUUUAUCAAAAAACCUCCUUUGUGAAUGUGCUUAUAUGUUGUUCAUUCUAAAUUAAUUGAACCAUUUAUUAGAAUUUAAAUGUUUACACGGAUUUUACGUCAAUCAUGUGCAUAAUAUCCAUGGAUAUUAUUUCUUUCAUUUAUGUUUCAUAUUUCUCAUAACUUGUAAACCUAAAUUGUUUAAUAAGAGGUAUUUAAACAUUUUUUUUAUUCUGG